rnacentral:rRNA from 1 species
UACGGAGGGUGCAAGCGUUAUCCGGAUUCACUGGGUUUAAAGGGUGCGUAGGUGGGUUGGUAAGUCAGUGGUGAAAUCCCCGAGCUUAACUUGGGAACUGCCAUUGAUACUAUCAAUCUUGAAUAUUGUGGAGGUUAGCGGAAUAUGUCAUGUAGCGGUGAAAUGCUUAGAUAUGACAUAGAACACCAAUUGCGAAGGCAGCUCACUAAGCAAAUAUUGACGCUGAGGCACGAAAGCGUGGGGAUCAAACAGG